UAAGGAAUCUUCCACAAUGGGCGAAAGCCUGAUGGAGCAACGCCGCGUGCAGGAUGAAGGCCUUCGGGUCGUAAACUGCUUUUAUGUGCGAUGAAUUUGACAGUAACACAUGAAUAAGGAUCGGCUAACUACGUGCCAGCAGCCGCGGUCAUACGUAGGAUCCGAGCGUUAUCCGGAGUGACUGGGCGUAAAGAGUUGCGUAGGUGGUAAUUUAAGCGAGUAAUGAAAUCGUGUGGCUCAACCAUACUGCUAUUAUUUGAACUGAAUUACUUGAGAGCGAGAGAGGUAAAUGGAAUUCCCAGUGUAGGAGUGAAAUCCGCAGAUAUUGGGAGGAACACCAAUGGCGUAGGCAGUUUACUGGCUCGUUUCUGACACUGAGGCACGAAAGCGUGGGGAGCGAACCGGAUUAGAUACCCCGGUAGUCC
rnacentral:rRNA from 1 species